CCUACGGGUGGCUGCAGUGAGGAAUAUUGGUCAAUGGGCGAGAGCCUGAACCAGCCAAGUCGCGUGAGGGAGUACUGCCCUAUGGGUUGUAAACCGCUUUUGUCGGGGAGCAACAGCCGCACGUGUCCGGCUGUGAGAGUACCCGAAGAAAAAGCAUCGGCUAACUCCGGGCCAGCAGGCGCGGUAAUACGGAGGAUGCGAUGGUUAUCCGGGUUUAUUUGGGUUAAAGGGUGCGCAGGCUGGCGUUUAAGUCAGCGGUCAAAUCGUGGGGCUCAACCCCCUCCAGCCGUUGAAACUGGGGGCCUUGAGUGUGCGACAGGUAUGCGGAAUUCGUGGUGGAGCGGUGAAAUGCAUAGAUAUCACGAAGAACCCCGAUUGCGAAGGCAGCCUGCCGGUGUACAACUGACGCUGAGGCACGAAGGCGUGGGUAUCGAACAGGAUUAGAUACCCGGGUAGUC
rnacentral:rRNA from 1 species